rnacentral:rRNA from 1 species
UACGUAGGCAGCAAGCGUUGUUCGGAAUUACUGGGCGUAAAGGGCUCGUAGGCGGCCAACUAAGUCAGACGUGAAAUCCCUCGGCUUAACCGGGGAACUGCGUCUGAUACUGGAUGGCUUGAGGUUGGGAGAGGGAUGCGGAAUUCCAGGUGUAGCGGUGAAAUGCGUAGAUAUCUGGAGGAACACCGGUGGCGAAGGCGGCAUCCUGGACCAAUUCUGACGCUGAGUGAGCGAAAGCCAGGGGAGCAAACGGG